GUUUCGGUGCGGGCUGGGAGACCGGUACCAAAUCGAGACAAACUCAGAAUACCCAGAGAACACAUUGCCAGUGAGACAGUGGGGGAUAAGCUUCAUUGUCAAGAGGGAAACAGCCCAGACCACCAGCUAAGGUCCCCAAAUCAUCACUAAGUGAUAAAGGAGGUGGGAUUGCAUAGACAACUAGGAGGUUUGCCUAGAAGCAGCCAACCUUAAAAGAGUGCGUAAUAGCUCACUAGUCAAGCGAUCCUGCGCCGAAAAUGAACGGGGCUAAGUGAUGUACCGAAGCUGUGGGAUUGAUUUAAGUAUCAAUCGGUAGGGGAGCGUUCCGUAUUAGGUAGAAGCAGUAGCGGCGAGCAGCUGUGGACGAAACGGAAGUGAGAAUGUCGGCUUGAGUAGCGCAAACAUUGGUGAGAAUCCAAUGCCCCGAAACCCUAAGGGUUCCUCCGCCAGGUUCGUCCACGGAGGGUUAGUCGGGUCCUAAGGCGAGGUCGAAGGGCGUAGUCGAUGGACACAGGGUGAAUAAUCCCUGACUAUGAUGUGGGAGCAUUGCGAGGGACGCAUGAAAGAUAGCCAUACCCUGAUUGGUUUGGGAGGAGUUUACGAACUCCGUUUGGUGAAGGAUAGUGUCAAGAAAAGCUCGUAAUGUGAUGAAAGCAUUAUACCCGUACCCGAAACCGACACAGGUAGGGAGGUUGAGAAUACCAAGGGGCGCGAGAUAACUCUCUCUAAGGAACUCGGCAAAAUGGCCCCGUAACUUCGGGGARAAAGNG
rnacentral:rRNA from 1 species